rnacentral:rRNA from 1 species
UGAUCCAUGGCUCAGAUUGAACGCUGGCGGCAGGCCUAACACAUGCAAGUCGAGCGGAUGACAGGAGCUUGCUCCUGAAUUCAGCGGCGGACGGGUGAGUAAUGCCUAGGAAUCUGCCUGGUAGUGGGGGACAACGUUUCGAAAGGAACGCUAAUACCGCAUACGUCCUACGGGAGAAAGCAGGGGACCUUCGGGCCUUGCGCUAUCAGAUGAGCCUAGGUCGGAUUAGCUAGUUGGUGAGGUAAUGGCUCACCAAGGCGACGAUCCGUAACUGGUCUGAGAGGAUGAUCAGUCACACUGGAACUGAGACACGGUCCAGACUCCUACGGGAGGCAGCAGUGGGGAAUAUUGGACAAUGGGCGAAAGCCUGAUCCAGCCAUGCCGCGUGUGUGAAGAAGGUCUUCGGAUUGUAAAGCACUUUAAGUUGGGAGGAAGGGCAUUAACCUAAUACGUUAGUGUUUUGACGUUACCGACAGAAUAAGCACCGGCUAA